GGGGAGAGCACUUAAGACAUGUAGAGGCUGUGUUGGACCAGAUUAGGGCCGCAGGCCUAACUCUGAAACCAGAGAAAUGUAAUUUCGGAAUGGCCGAAGUACAGUACUUGGGACACAGGGUAGGGUGUGGGAAACAACGACCAGAACCCGCUAAGUUGGAAGCUGUAGCCAACUGGCCCACACCCCUCACCAAGACCCAAGUACUGGCAUUCUUGGGGACUGCGGGAUAUUACAGGAAAUUUGUCCCUGACUAAAGCGCCAUCGCUAAACCCC